rnacentral:rRNA from 1 species
AUGAUAUGCUUACGAAUUUACAGAGUGAACUUCUGGGAUGAAUUGCUCGAGUGUAUUGCCCUCCACUCCCCCUCCCUUGAACCCGACUCGCUGCCUUGGCAUCUCGAGCCAAGCGGUAGAUUCUCGACUAGAUCCCUAUACCAGGCGAUUGUUCCCACCCCUGGUCCGGUGGAGCUCUCGGUGCUCUGGGAGAUCAAACUCCCCUUGAAAAUCCGCAUAUUUCUCUGGCAAUGGGUCUGAGGUCGCCUGCCCUCGGGCACGGAGGUCUGAAAACGUAAUGGCCUGGGGAUGGCCUCUGCCCCAUUUGUUUGGUACCGGAAGACUGCAACCACAUCUUCUUUCGAUGCCCUGCGGUGCAGUUCCUAUGGAGCUGCUUCCGGGAGGUGGUUGGUGGUAAUUGGUGCCAUGACAACCUCCCGGAUUUGUUUGGGGAGGUCCUUAGGCUCCCUGGCGCUAGUCGCGCCCCCAUUUGGGUGGCUUUGGGUACCCUUGCCUGGUCCCUUUAGUGUACCCGUAAUAAACUAG